rnacentral:rRNA from 1 species
CAAUAGCGUAUAUUAAAGUUGUUGCAGUUAAAAAGCUCGUAGUUGGAUUUCUGGUGGGAGCGAUCGGUCUGGCGCUUAGCGCGAGUACUUGCAUCGUCUCCGGCCAUCCUUGGGGAGAGUCUGUCUGGCAUUAGGUUGUCGGGCAGAGGAUCCUCAUCGUUUACUGUGAAAAAAUUAGAGUGUUCAAAGCAGGCUUAUGCCGUUGAAUAUAUUAGCAUGGAAUAAUAAGAUAGGACUUUGGUACUAUUUUGUUGGUUUGCGCACCAAAGUAAUGAUUAAGAGGGACAGUUGGGGGUAUUCGUAUUCCGUUGUCAGAGGUGAAAUUCUUGGAUUUACGGAAGACGAACUACUGCGAAAGCAUUUACCAAGGAUGUUUUCAUUAA